rnacentral:rRNA from 1 species
GCAAGCGUUGUUCGGAUUUACUGGGCGUAAAGCGCACGUAGGCGGACUGUUACGUCAGGGGUGAAAUCCUGGAGCUCAACUCCAGAACUGCCUUUGAUACUGAUGGUCUCGAGUCCGGAAGAGGUGAGUGGAAUUCCGAGUGUAGAGGUGAAAUUCGUAGAUAUUCGGAGGAACACCAGUGGCGAAGGCGGCUCACUGGUCCGGUACUGACGCUGAGGUGCGAAAGCGUGGGGAGCAAACAGG